GCCGGGCGCGGUGGCGCACGCCUGUAGUCCCAGCUACUCGGGAGGCUGAGACAGGAGGAUCGCUUGAGUCCAGGAGUUCUGGGCUGUAGUGCGCUAUGCCGAUCGGGUGUCCGCACUAAGUUCGGCAUCAAUAUGGUGACCUCCCGGGAGCGGGGGACCACCAGGUUGCCUAAGGAGGGGUGAACCGGCCCAGGUCGAAAACGGAGCAGGUCAAAACUCCCGUGCUGAUCAGUAGUGGGAUCGCGCCUGUGAAUAGCCACUGCACUCCAGCCUGGGCAACAUAGCGAGACCCCGUCCCUU
rnacentral:SRP_RNA from 1 species